rnacentral:ncRNA from 1 species
AUUAACUUUACUUUGAUUURCUAAACUACUAUUUAAAAUUGAUUAUGGAUUGUUAAUGUUUCUUUCCAGUUCUUAACUUUUAUCCAUUAUAAAAAAUAAAAUAAGUUAUUAAUUUUUUUUUAGGUAUAUUAGGUGCCAGCAACCGCGGUCAUACCUAAUAAAAAUGUAAGUUUAURUUAUUUGAUUUUUUAUUUUUWWUAUACAUAAAAUAUUCUUUUUUUAGGUAAAAUACARAAAAAUAUGKAUWUCUUUUUGUAUAUAUAUUAUUUUUACUACUAAAAAAAUUAAUCCAAAACUAGGAUUAGAUACCCUAUUAUUUUUUAAAUAAAAAAAAUCAUAUUGAGUAYUAAAUUUUUUUAAAAAACCAAACUCAAUAAGUAUGGCAGUAAUUAUUAGUUUUAGGGGAACUUACCACAUAGUAGAUAAUCAACAAGAAAACCCAACUAAAUUUAUUUGUUUGUAUGCCGUCGUUUUCUUWUAAAUUAAGUUUAUAAGUAUAAUUUUAUAUWUUUAWUUUUAAAAUAUAAAAUAAAUAUCAGAUCAAGGUGCAGCAUGUUUAGGGUGUAGGCGAGUUACAAUAAAAAAUUUAUUUCUAUUUUUUAGGUGGACUUAAAAGUAAUAUAAUAUAUAARAUAAAUUUUUUUUUAAAUGAAUUAUYAUAAUAAUUGUGCACAAAUCGCCCGUCGUUCUCAAUAUUUAUUGAUUUUUUAUUUGAGACAAGUCGUAACAUAGUAGAAAUAGUGGAAACUGUUUCU